GUGAGACUUUCUCCAGCAGUGUUCAGCAGUUCUGGAACAUUUUUGGAAGUAACGGGUCAGCUUGGUGUGCCAGGGUUGUAGUUGGGGGGCGCUUGCUGCGUUUAACUGUAGGAGGUGCCAUGAUGUCAAGUUGAGAGGAGAGAGUGGAGUUGUAGAGUGAGGUUGCAGAGUUAGGGCAGUUGUGAUUUGAGAUGGGUAAAAGGAGUGUUUGGAGUUUAGUGGAGAAGUGCUGGAGAUCGAGAGAGUUGAGGUUUCUGCGAGGUUGGAGAGUGGACGGUGGUGAGAUUUUGGUAUGGGGUAUGCAGAUGUUAAAUGUUAG